CUACGUGCCAGCAGCCGCGGUAAUACGGAGGAUGCGAGCGUUAUCCGGAUUUAUUGGGUUUAAAGGGUGCGUAGGCUGUCGGUUAAGUCAGCGGUGAAAUCAGCACGCUUAACGUGUUGUUUGCCGUUGAAACUGUCCGUCUUGAAUGCGCUCGUCGUGGGAGGAAUGUGUGGUGUAGCGGUGAAAUGCAUAGAUAUCACACAGAACACCGAUUGCGAAGGCAUCUCACGAGAGCGUUAUUGACGCCGAUGCACGAAAGCGCGGGUAUCGAACAGGAUUAGAUACCCUGGUAGUCCACGCCCUAAACGAUGUCGAUUAGCUGUUGGGCAACUUGAUUGCUUGGUAGCGAAGCUAACGCGUGAAAUCGACCGCCUGGGGAGUACGGUCGCAAGAUUAAAACUCAAAGGAAUUGACGGGGACCCGCACAAGCGGUGGAUGAUGUGGAUUAAUUCGAUGCAACGCGAAGAACCUUACCUGGUCUUGACAU
rnacentral:rRNA from 1 species